rnacentral:lncRNA from 10 species
GUGUGAGACAAAGGGCCCGCGACUCAAACAGAGCAUUUGGACUAUAUCACUCUAACUCUGCAGCAAGCUUUCCUGAAGUGGAGUUGGAGAUAGCAUUUCAGUAAAUGUCCUUUACCCACUGCUUAUUCGGGACACACCCUGUUGACUGCUAGAAAUUUUCAUGGGACACAAUUUUGGGAAGUGAGACAUUAGGAGAAGUGAGCUGUCCUCUCCUGACAAGAAAUGUGCUUGGCAGGCUGUGAGUACACGAGGAGUUGAAAGAGUAAAAAGAACUUCCAAUACUACAUUGACUAAAUGUGGGAAAAGUGGAGAAAACUCAUUGUGUUCCUGAUAUUAGAAGAAAAGCUUUCAGUCCUUCACCAUUGAGUAUGACAAUCAGCUCUGAGAAUUUCCAUAUAUAGCCUUUAUUUUGCUGGGGUAGUUUAUUCUCCUUCUAGUUAUUUGGUAUUUCAAUCAUGAAAAGGUGCUAGGUGCUGAAUUUUGUGAAACUGAAUGUUCUGCAUUCACUGACAUGAUGUGAUUUAUACCUUCCACUCUGCUCAUGUGGAGUAUUACAUUGAUAUUUG